rnacentral:lncRNA from 1 species
GGCACAUGUCAAUAAAUAUGUGCUGAAUGCAUUUCUGAAUUCCUCCUUCUUUCCCACCUCCAGGGCUUUGUUACAGGGUCAACUUCUCGGUGCAUGGCUCCUUCCAGUCUGAUAAGAACCAUCCCUCAGCCUUCAGACGAACAGAUGGAAUGACUGGGAAGUAGGGGAGAAAACAGAAAAGCGCACUGGUGCUCUCCUGCAAAUGCAGCAUCUGCCCCACCUCCAUGCAGUCAAGCAAAGCAGAGGGAAUGUGAACCAAAAACUUUAAGAUGAGGUGAGGGGAAGACCCCAAAGGACCACUGGCUGACACUAACUCUGGGACCAAUGGCAGGGCCCACAGCAUUGACAAAU